rnacentral:rRNA from 1 species
AACGAACGCUGGCGGCAGGCUUAACACAUGCAAGUCGAACGCAUCCUUCGGGGUGAGUGGCAGACGGGUGAGUAACGCGUGGGAACGUGCCCUUCAGUUCGGGAUAACCCAGGGAAACUUGGGCUAAUACCGGAUACGUGCGAGAGCAGAAAGAUUUAUCGCUGAAGGAUCGGCCCGCGUCUGAUUAGCUAGUUGGUGGGGUAAUGGCCCACGAAGGAGACGAUCAGUAGCUGGUCUGAGAGGAUGAUCAGCCACAUUGGGACUGAGACACGGCCCAAACUCCUACGGGAGGCAGCAGUGGGGAAUAUUGGACAAUGGGCGCAAGCCUGAUCCAGCCAUGCCGCGUGAGUGAUGAAGGCCUUAGGGUUGUAAGGCUCUUUCGUCCGGGACGAUAAUGACGGUACCGGAAGAAGAAGCCCCGGCUAACUUCGUGCCAGCAGCCGCCGUAA